UACAGGGGUGCAAACGUUGCUCGGAAUUAUUGGGCGUAAAGCGCGCGUAGGCGGCUACCUAAGUCGGAUGUGAAAGCCCCUGGCUUAACCGGGGAAGUGCACCCGAAACUGGGUAGCUAGAGUGCAAAAGAGGGUCGCGGAAUUCCCAGUGUAGAGGUGAAAUUCGUAGAUAUUGGGAGGAACACCGGUGGCGAAGGCGGCGACCUGGGUUGACACUGACGCUGAGGCGCGAAAGCGUGGGGAGCGAACAGG
rnacentral:rRNA from 1 species